AGAAUCACGGGCAGAGUCACAGUUCACCUGCACAUCUCCACCUGAGGUUGGACUCCUACCACCUGGCAGAUCCCACUACCCCAGCAGAGGGAAAAGAGCACAGUGCAUGUUUGGAAGACCCAAGGUAGAGACUGAACUGAACGAGGUAAGCUGCAGCCUGGUGGCGAGACGUGCAGCGAGGCCCAGCCGAGCCAGAAAAAGCAAACAUCGGAAAGAAACAAGAGGCCACCACAGAACACGACAGCCUCUUGCGAAGAUCAUUUGCCAGUUUUCCCAACACCAUUUGUUGAAUAAUCUACCCCUUAUUUACUGAUCUGAAAUGCCAACUUCAUCAUGAGACACAUUCUCAUGUGGUCGUGGAUCCAUCACUGAGCUCCAGACAAAGCUCCACUGGAAAUGGGAUAUGACUUUCCAGUUGAUACCAUGAAGAAAUAUCAGCUCACUGGUCACAAUCCAGUGACCAGUCCAGUCCCCUGGUCACAGUCCAGUGGUUUGAACGAGCUGUCUUUUGAGGAGUAGGAGAUUCGGGCAGAAGAUGGGAGAAGACAGAAGUCACUUCAAGCCCAUUUUAAUGAGUCCAAAGAGGUGACAGAGAAACCAGGGAAGGGCGGAGAAAAGGAGGAAAUGGAAGAAGAGAAGGAGAAGGUGGAAAGCAGGUGGGUGAGGCUUCUUCAAAAAGAAGAGAGGAAAACGAGGAAGGCUGCCCCAACAAAGAGGAAAACAACACAGAUUUGCCGAAAGUAUUCCUCUCAGAGCUGCUAAUCUUGUCUGCACUGGACCGGGACCAUAUCCUGAAUCCCUUUGCAUCUCUAGCAUGAACCACGGACACUGGGCCGCACUGGCCCUCAAGAACAGUUUGUUGAGCCACAGGUAAAGGAAAUCAUCAGCUUUCUUAGGGGUGGUGAUCUGAAGAGUGGGAGCAAGGAAGGGACGACUGGGCUGAAGUGAAGACAGAGGACCCGGCUCUCGCUGUGAUCCCUGUGUUUCCUGGACGUGAAUGGCAAGGUGUUUGGGUGCUAAUUUCUUGCCCCCUAUGCUCCCCGUAAGCUGGCUCCCCGUGUGACUGCAGGGAACACCUUGGCAAAGAGCCUUCUUCAAAGUGUCUCAGCAUGAUGGGGAGCGGGCAUCGCUGCCAGUCACGGAGGACAUGUGUUUCCGGAACCACUGAGUUCCAACCAGUAGCCUCGCCGAGUUCUGGCAAUCUGCGUGUGAACUGUGCCCUACUGCAAAGUGCACCCAGAUUGGGGGCGGGGGCGGUCACCCCCUCCUUUGAAACUGCUGUUCCUCUCCAUUUGCUGCUGCAGAUGCCAACACAAUCCUUGUUGCAUUAACUUGGCUUGGAGAGUGAGGAAAUGGCAGCAGCAUUAAUUAAAAAUAAUGUGCCACCCAGGAGAUAGCUUGAGCUCACUUCCUCUCUUAGUAUUCCUCUCGAUUCCUUUCCUUCCAGCUUGCGGCUAACGCGCUAUAGGUGCCAGGGAGGGGAACCCGCGAUGUUCAGUAGAAAGAUGACAGAAGAGUGAGAGAUUAGAGAGAGGGGCUCCAAAUGUGAUGAAAAUGUUCAAUCUUAGAGGUAUCUGUAAGGCAGAUUUUUGAAGGCACUAAAAAGAAUAGUAAAAAAAUCAGGGGGAAAGAGUUGGAUUCCUGAAGUUAGGGGGACAAGGGAAGGAUUGGCAGAAAGUGGUAUAAGUGGAUACUUUUGAAAAACAAUAAAGAGAAGAAAUACCAUUCUACAAGAAAAAGGACCAGGUCUCUGUAGAAGUGACUGAGUCAAUGGUUGGGGCAGGAAAUGUAUAACUUUGUAAGAAGUUCUUAUAGGGCUGAAAAGUAAAGCAGUUUGUUCAAAAACAAACAACCUAAAACCCCAAUGGCGGUGUGUUUGCCAAAUGGACACAAGAACCAACUGAAAGAGCUCGUGACGGGCAAAGCUGGGGCAACUUGAACAAGAAAAUGAAUGAUAUAGUGUCGGAUUAUAGCCCAAAGUAUAAGUAUCCAUGAGUCCAUACUGAUGUAAAUAAAUGAUUGAAUAUAUACGUAAGUGGAAGAGAAAAGACAAGUCUCUUGUGCAGAAGAAUUCCGAAUAAUUGAGGUUUGUGCACCCGCUUCAUGGAGGUGGAGAGUAAAUUUCCACUCCUUACAUGUGACCUGCGCUUGGUGACUUCCUUCCAAAGAGUACGGUAUGCAUAACUUUAUAGUGGAGAAAUCUGACAAAACACUGCCUCCGCAGCGGUUAUCGAGGUCAACGUCAUUAUGGUUAAAUCACAUUAAUAGCUUGUAUCCUUGAUAUGAUGAGAAUGAUACUUCACCUCGGUGACCUCCCUGCCUCAAACCCAUAACUCCAGUCUACCCAUGAGAAAUACCAUCAGAGAAACCCAAGUGGAAGGACAUUCUACAGAAUACCUGACCCAUACUCCCCCAAUCUGUCAAAGUCAUCAAGAACAAGAAAUGUCUGAGAAAGUGUCACAGACCAGAGGGGCCUAAGGAGACGUGAUGGCUAAAUGUAACGUGAUAUCCUAGAUGGGGUCCUGGAACAGAAAAAAGGACAUUAGGGAAAAAACUAAAGAUAUCUCAAUAGAGGUUGGACCUCUGUUAACGAUAAAGUAUUAGUAUCGCUGCUUGGAACCAUCAGCGUCCACUACAGUGUGAAAGGGAGUCCAGACUGAAAAGAAAAACCCUUACAAUUGCCAUCCCAGCCCAGAAGCUUCACAAUCACCUUCACAGCCAUGCUUACGUUGUAAAAAAUUAUGGCUGUUGCAAGCUGUGGUUUUUCAAUUUAAUGCUGUUCUAAACGCCUGUACUUUCAGGUAGUCUCCUUUGGAAGUGAAAGCAAUAUUUUCAGCAUCCCAAUGUGUUUGUUCUAGGCUUGUUGACAGAGUAGGAUGACUGAGCCGUAGAAGGAAAGAAGCAAAUUUGGGGAAGGAUCCGUGGAGUUGACAUAUGCAUUAUUCAAAAUUAAACAAUCCUCGUAAACCCAUGUGUCCCCCCGCUGCCCCCUACAAAGUGUGUUAUUUCUUUUCCUGAAUAACAUUUUCCUCUUAAUGCUGAAUUAAUAAAGUUAUUUUCAUU